GACGAACGCUGGCGGCGUGCUUAACACAUGCAAGUCGAACGGAAAGGCCUUUUCGGUGGUACUCGAGUGGCGAACGGGUGAGUAACACGUGGGUGAUUUGCCCUGCAUUCUGGGAUAAGUCUGGGAAAGUGGGUCUAAUACCGGAUGGGACCGCGCUCUUGUGUGUGGUGGAAAGUUUUUGCGGUGUGGGAUGGGCGCGCGGCCUAUCGGCUUGUUGGGGGGGUAAUGGCUUACCAAGGCGGCGACGGGUAGCCGGCCUGAGGGGUUGACCGGCCACAUGGGGCCUAGGAUAGGCCCAGACUCCUACGGGGGGCAAGAGUGGGGAAUAUUGCACAAUGGGGGCAAGCCUGAUGCAGCGACGGCCGGUGGCGGAUGACGGCCUUCGGGUUGUAAACCCCUUUCGCCAGGUACGAAGCGGUUUGUGACGGUACCUGGAGAAGAAGCACCGGCUAACUACGUG
rnacentral:rRNA from 1 species